rnacentral:lncRNA from 1 species
UUAAUUUACGUUUUUAGUACCUAAUUCCAUGGCCAGGGCCACAUGCGAUAGUCUCAAUCCACAAGUUCGAGGUGCCGGGACCUAUAGAGACACAAUCAUCUCCGGUGCCAAUCUGAGAGUUCAUAAUUGUGACUCCUGUUGAUUUCUCCACGUGAAUUCCGUCGGUGUUUGGGCUGUUGCCUGGUGUAGAAACCUUUAUUCCCGCUAGCUUGGCAUUGUGGCAUCCAUCAACAAGAAUGUUGAACUUCUGGCUAUUUAUUGAAGACAAUCCAUUCAUUAUGAUGUUGUUGGAAUUGUAGAAGGCCAGUGUCUGAGCAAGAAAGAAUCGAAAAAUUAUGUUAGAAUGUACAACAUGGCAAAAAAUAAAAUCACUUUCUUCUUUAUUAACAUACCGUUGCUCCGGUUGGACAACUAUUGCCGGAAUUUUUGCAUGCCCACAAAUUAGCCCCUUGGGCAUCUAGGGUUCCACCAAUAACAGAAACUCCGGUCACACUUUCGAACUUGAUCCAGUUACCAGAAUUUCCAAUAACAUCAAAAUCAGAUGGAGCUACUAGUGUCCCAUCAAUUUGAAUCGUUAUAGCAGUGUUUUUGCAUGACUUGCCGACAAAAGUUGCAGCUCCAAGCAAGUAUCUUCCCGGUGGCACGUAAAUGGUGGCUGGCUGCGUAGAAGCACAUGCUGAGGUCCAUGCACUCAAGAAUGCCUUGGUACAAUCAGUUUUUCCAUCAGAUUUUGCUCCCAAACUUUGGACAUUGUAAUUAGCAUUGGCUGCAAUUGAUGAGUAGUUGAAGAAGGUCAGGAGGAAAUAUUGGAAAGCAAGGAAAAAAGGUAAAGCUCCAGCCAUUUUUUUUUUCGCACGUAUGUAUGUGUGUGUUAUAGAGAGAGGGAGAAAGGGGGAGGGGAUGAGGAGAUGAAGCAGUUAUAAGAGGUAUUUAUAGGCUAUAAGUUGAGGGCAAAUUUAAACAGUGAUGGUGUUUAUGAGGUCACGAUCACUGUUCUCGUACCACACCGAGAAGAAAAAUUGUUUGGACAAAUGAGAAUUUCAAGUUAUUUAGCGCAAUAAGAAAAAUAUGUAUGACAAUAGAAUUAUGGCAUAGAAUAAAAAACGUGUUAGUUAAAUUGUGGCUGAAGAAACAAAAUACAGGCACAUGGUUGGAUGUUUGUUUUGACAAAUAAGAAAUUUAACUUAUUUAAUUUAAUUAGUGCAAUAUUAAUUUAUUGAUCAAAUCUAAGCAAAAAGAAAAGCUUUGACAAUGGGGAAAUAAAUAUGGCUUAGAUUAAACACAUAAUAGAAAAUUUGCGUCUCAUAAAAUAAUGUAUAGUUAGAUCAAUAUAAAUGAAUAUAUGAUAAAUUAAUUUUAUAUAUAUAUAUAUAUAUAUAUAUAGAGAGAGAGAGAGAGAGAGAGAGAGAGAGAGAGAGAGAGAGAGAGAGAAUUAAUAGGCUAGUCCAUCAUCAUUUAACUAGGAUAAUUAAAUAGGUGUUCAUAUCCCUAUCACGUUUAACAUUUUAAAAAUUACUUCACGAAAUAUAUAAACAAAUUAAUAAAUUAACUAGAAUUUUAUUCAAUCCCAAUAUUAUCAUUUUAUGGAGAUUUUAUUGUACACACACAGCCACAAUGGUUGAUGCUCUAAAAACUAAAAUAUUCAAAAUUCUCGUGUCUAUUUUAAACUGAAUACACAACAAAUCCUUAAAUAUAAAAUCCUCAAACUUAAAACUAUAAUUUGACAGCAAUAUUGACCAGGUGUGGGAUGACGUAAAGUUGGUCACAAAAGGGAUACACACUAUUGAUUGCAUCAAAUUUUCGUUUAUCAUCAUCAUAAUAAUAAUAAUAAUAGUAAUAAUAAUAAUAAUAAUAAUAAUAAUAAUAAUAAUAAUAAUAAUAAUAAUAUAUAUAAAUAAAUAAAUAAAUUUAAUUGCUGAAACUCUACUUCUAUAUAUCUCUCUAAAUCAGUAUUAAAUUUUGAAGAAAAUUUAAUGGACAUUAAGUACACAUUUAUGAAAGCACACUUCAUAUUUGAAUUAGAAUGAGACAUCACAACUCACACCAAAAUUUAAAGGUUGACUUAUUUAAUAUUAUAUAGAGGUUUUUGCUGUAACAUGUCAUAAUAAAUAAAAUAAGUAAAACGUAAAAUUUUGAUUUAAAUCCUCUUGCCAUUAUUUGUUGUGUAUAUAUUUAACUUUUGAACAAAGAAUGAAUUUCAUCACUACGCAAACCACAUAUUGAAUACAAUUUUUAAUGGAAAAAGAUAUUGUGCGCGUUGUUGUUUGAAUCAUCGUCAAAAUUUUUAAGUAUGGUGACAAGUUUCAAGAAAUUCGUAUAUUGGACUACUUCCAACAACUAAAUCAUUAUUUUAGUUAAGAAAUUAAACCAAUAUCCAUUUGUUCCAAAAUAUUAGUUACAACUCAAAUUUCUUACUAAUCAAUUUAGUCCAAAGUUCAAAAAUAAAUUAAACUGACCAAAAUAAUGAAUGUUAUAUUUUUGAACUAAUGUUUUUUCCUCUGUAAAGUGGGACAUACUUUUAAUAGUCUUUUAAUCAAGACAUAUACUUUAAUAAUAACACCGAAGUUCUCUGUUAUGCUCUUACUUACGCAAUUUAAAAGUAGUCUAAUUUUAUUCUUUAUAAGGAAAGAAGUACCUCCUAACUUUUCAUUAGUAUCUCAAGUCAAGUUUUGAGGUAGGCGUUCUUUCCUUAUAGUCCAAAUUAUCAUCUAUAGAUGUGUCAAAUCCAGAACGAGCUUUGAUGCUGCUUUAACUAACACAUUAUAAUUAGAGUCCUUAAUAAACCCUUCUUAAAUUACAUCAAAAUUACAUAGUUAAUUAGAUUUAAGUAACAAUAGGGUACGAGAAAUAAAUAGGAAUGGAUAGCCAACGAAAUAAUAAUGAAUAGAAAUAAAAUUAAGGUGGUAAUUCAUUAAUUGAUCCACAGCCAUUCUUUCUGCUAAUAUUAAAGUUGAAGAUUAAUUUCCGGCGAGAAUGUUGCCUAAAUUACUCAUUUCUCAUUUGAGUUACAAAUACUGUCUUUUUUAAUUUCAACCCUUUUUCUUAUACGUUAUAUCAAUGGUUGAAAUUUCAAAUUUCACUUUAUGAGAUCCAUGAUUUUAAAUUCUAAAUAAUAAAAAAAAAAAAAUCAAUACAAUGAAACAAUAGAUUAAUUUUUUAUUCUUAAAAAGUUUAGUGUGAAGCACACGAACUUUUUCCUUUAAAACAAUUACCGACUUAUGAUAUGCUCCUCGUAUAGAUUAUCUGCUCCUACUAAGUCCUAUCUUUGAAAAUCUUAUGCGAAAAGGGAUAAAAUUUGGUAAAUCUUUACACUUUUUCCUUGCAUAAUGAAGAUCAUUUUAUCUAGCUAUAUAAUCCUUCUAUGCAGGAUGUCUUAUUAAUAUUUAAUUUAUUAUUUAAGAGGGUGUUUAGUGGAGAUUAAAAUUAGAUUUUUUAGUAGAUUGUGAUAAAAGUUUUUGAAAUGUGAGAUUAAAAAGUUGUAUGACCAUAAAAAAUGUGGUUAAUAUUGGUUGUUUGACUUUGAUUUAAAUUAAAAUCAGAUAUUAAUCCGUACCAAACGGACUGUAAAUUAUAUGUUCGGUUGGGUUAAUUGGAAUUCCCUCAUUAUAUACAGAAAAUUCUAGGUUGGUGUUGAAAUUAUAGUGUGUAUAAUAAAUUUGCCUAACUAUUACAAUGUAUGAGAUCCUUUUAUAUGAUUAUAAAUAACUCUAUAAAAAAUAAUUAUUUGAUAAUCACACAAAUUAUAAAUAAAAAUAAUUCCACACGAUUGGAAAGGUAACAUGGUGAAUAAUCAUUCUAGAUUUUCAACAUCUCUCUUCAAACUCAAUAUGAUGUAGAAAUCAAAUUGAGUUUGAAAAUUAAAUUGAUCCAAAUAUAUCACCAUUUUCAAGGCUAGCUCAAACAAUCAAAUGCGGAGCUACAAGUUUAGUUUAAUGGGGACAUAACUUAAAUAUGUAAGUUUGGAAACACGACAAUAAAUGAGAUUGUUAAAUAGUUUGAACAGUUAUCAUACUUCAAAAACACUUCAAAAUAACCUCUUUAUUAAUAUCAUCAAGGAUCCAUUUGUAUGUUUACUCUUCACAUUUGAUCUCGAAUGCUAACAAUAUUUCUAUAUUAUUUACUCUAUUUGUUUACUUUGUUAUUAUUUAUGUAGGACAUUGACACUCUCUAUUAGAAUACCAUUCCAUAGUUGUUGCACAUCAGGUCCAAUGACCGAAAAUGAAGAAAAAUACUUGAAUAAAAUUUACUAAUUAAAAACAUGGAAGAUGCAAUAAAAAAUCUUGAAAUAAUUCAUCGAAACACUUGAAAAGAAAAAAUAACUCAACUUCAAAACAAAAGAAGUUAAAACGAACCGCGCAUAUAUAAUAAAAGUAGUUAAACGAAAAAAAAGUUUCUAAUUGGAUUUUGAGAGAAUUUUUUAUUUAGCUAAUGAUGUUCAAUUUGGUCACUAUCACUAUUUACGUAAAAGUUCUAAAUUUAAUAUCAAACCUUUAAAAAAUGAUUUUUUUUUGAAGACUAACCUUAUAAUGAAUACACAUUUUUAAAUGAAAAAAAAAAUUGUGAAAGUUGCAGUUUGCAUCACCCGUCACAUUUAUUAAUAGCUGAAGCUAUAACAAAAUAUUUAUGGCCAAAUUUUCAAGAAAUUCGUAUCCGCUACAAAUUUAAGUUGCUUGUUGUAAUACAUUCCAUUUUAAAUUAUUGUCUCAGGUAUGUUUUUCGAAAGUUUUGAAUGAACAGGGAUUUAUAUUCCGAAUGAGCAGUUAUUCAUAUAUUAAAUUUUGCUUUUUAAGGUAAUUAUUUGAAUUAAACCAAAUCACUGUUUCGUGCAAUUCUCAGUGUGUCAAUUUGAAAAUAUAUACCGUAAUAUAGGCAGAAGAUUGAGGCAAAAACUUAUGUUAGAAAUGCACUUUAAUUACGUCAUUUAUAUACCGUAAUAUAGGCAGAAGAUUGAGGCAAAAACUUAUGUUAGAAAAGCACUUUAAUUACGUCAUUUAUUCUUAUUUUAUCAAUGGCUUGCAAGUCAAAAUGACAUUAAUUGAAUUUUCCAUCAUUCCUAGACAGUUGCUAAUUAUAUUAAAAUCUUGCCUUUUCACGUUUAAAAUUAUGGUCGUUAAAAGCAAAUUUCUUGUACUAAUAUCUAUAGUGUAAUUGGAAAUCUGUUUAUAACUUUAGUUCUUCACUUCCUUUCAUAUGAAAACUUUAUAUCCUUGUAUCUAAUAUAGUCUUCUUUUUUUUUUUUUUUUCUAUGCUCAUUUUUAAUUUUGUACUGUAGAAAUUACAUAUAGGUUCUACCCUUAUUUUAAAUGAUUUCUAAUUAUACAAGCAACUAUUUGGUUGAACCAAGGCAGAAGACUUCCCGUCGGCAUUGAUGCUUGACGACUGAGCCGGUUCAUUGCAACUUCUGUUGACGAAUUUCCAUAUAUGUUUUGAUAUGUUAUAUCACUAACCUGAAAACUGAAAAAGGAAAAAAAAAAAUUAAGACCCUUCUUCAGAAUUAAUUUAGCAGAUUCGUGAUAUGCAGGCCCGGAAAUCAGCUUGUGGACAAGUUUGGAGCCGACCGGACUAAAGUUCACUAAAGCGGUUACUUUCAGCAGUUAUAUGUCAAGCAAUUAACAUGUGCAAAGCAGUUUCUACAGACGAGUUGUUUAUCUGUCUGGUUGGGGCAAUUUCCAGGUAGUUUAUGUUGGAAAUAUAAUAGAGUAACGACUUUAAAACCAAAAACAAACUUACCAACCUUACCGAAAAUUAGACAGAAUAAUGGCAAGGAAACAAGAAAAAUUAGUGUUCUGGGUGGGAAACUUUUGAAUUCUUUCCUUAAUUGCUGGGGUGAUAGCCAUACGAAUUUGUUAUAUGCUCAGGGCAUGAGACACAAAAGCAUAGAGUGCAUUGUUGUAAUCCAUUGUCAAGUUUCGUGAUGUUCUGUUAUUGUGACGAUAAAAGUUGGGGAUGUAUUUUCGUGUACUUCAUGUGUGCGUUUAUAAAUUAUGUCCCUUUCAUAAAGUUCUGCAUUCCUUUAUUACAUAAAGAAAUCUGAGUGUAAUUAGGUGGCUGACUUAAGAAACUUAGUGUAUUAUAGGCGACUAUUUACUCCAUCAACUUUGACCCCAUAACAAUAGACAACGAACUAAUGAUGAAUAGAGACAAAAUUAAGAUGGUAAUUAAUUAUUUGACCCAUACGCCAUUCUUUCUCUACAUAGUUCAAAUUGAAGAUUAAUUUCCGGCGAGAAUGUUGCCUAAUUCACUCAUUUCUCAUUUUAAGUUACAAGUACUCUUAGUCUUCUUUAUUUUCAACCCAUUUUGUUAUCUGUUUCGUCAACAGUUGAAAUCACUUUUUUAAAUCCAUGUUUUUUCAAUUUUGAUUAGAAAAGUCAAUAAUGAACAAUAGAUUAAUUUGUUAUAGAUUCAGUGUGAAGUACGUGAACUUUUUCCGCUGCAUUCCUUGAAAACAAUAAGUACUAAUGACCAUAACACGUCAUAUUAACUAGUUAAAGUUUCCCUACAUUCCCGAUCAGAUGCAAUGCGUCAUUAGAGGGAAAUCCUCACGAAAAUGUGUACUAGGAUGAAGAUAUAUUUUCGAGGUCAAUCCUAAUAUUUUGUGGUUAUACCAACUUUAAAUUUGAGACCCUGCUGAAGAAAAAUUAUGGGAUAAUUAGGCCCAAUACGGCCUAUUAAUUAAAAAAUUGAUAAUUACCCUUUCACUUUGCAAACUUUCGUUACCCGUACAAUAUACAUUCUCAGAAGAAAUAUGGAUGCAAUUCAACCCCAACCAAUCUGUAAAUAAGUGAUUUCUCUUUGCCAAAUCUGCCAUUGUGUGUUGAGAAUUAAUCAGCUAUUAAACUGAACAUUUGUUCGUGGUGCAGAUAUCGAUGGCAAAUGUUGUAGAGUUCAUAGAACAAUGAUUACAAAUAUCCAUUAGCCUUUAUUUAACCUAUAUAUUGGGCUACAAAUAUUGUGUUAUGAUUUUGUCCAUCAUAAUCCCCCGUCCCCUGAUUUGGAGCUCUGUUAGUAUAGUAGGAAAUUACACAAUCAGGAUAUAAAUCCAUGGUAACCUAGUCUUUCAAGAUUUUGAAGGGUAUGGAUAUAAAUCCACACUCUUGAUCACCACCAUCUUAGUUUAGAGACUCCAAAUACUAUUCUCUAUAUGGUCUUUUUUCGGAGGGAGGGGUAAUAAAAGGAUGAAAGAAAAAGAAAAAACUGAAAAUUCACAUAUGGAGUGGACUAUAAUUAGUUCUAGAGGCAAAUAUACAAAUCACUAUCGUGGCAGUGAGUGGUGGUGGUCUAUUUAGACGAAAAUGUGUGAGUUUUUAUUGUUGAGGCUUUAUCAAAAGAGUUUGCCACUUUUUUUACCUCACUUUUUUCAAUUUUGUCACUUUUUUGAAAAUUUGUCAUUUUAUUGAAAUUUUUUGCCAAAAGUCUUAACAGAUAAAAUAAAUACUAAUUAUUAUAUGAGAAAACCACCAUCAUACUUUUUUUUCUUUUUUUUCUUUUUUUUUUACACUUGCCUCACUUUUUUGAGCUAGUAACUUUUUUUUAAAGUGUCAUUUUUUAAAAAAAAAAAAUUCUCACUUUUUUUUUAUUUUUUUGGUUACUUUUUGAGUGUUUGUCACUUUUUAUUUUCUUUCACUUUUUUUUAUCUUUGUCACUUUUUUUUAAUUAAUAUCACUUUUUUUUAAUUCGUCACUUUUUCAAAUUUCUACCACUUUUUUUUUUUUUUUUUUUUUCCUUUUUUUUUUCUUUGUCACUUUUUUUUAAUUAAUAUCACUUUUUUUUAAUUCGUCACUUUUUCAAAUUUCUACCACUUUUUUUUUUUUUUUUUUUUUCCUUUUUUUUUUCUUUGUCACUUUUUUUUAAUUAAUAUCACUUUUUUUUAAUUCGUCACUUUUUCAAAUUUCUUCCCCUUUUUUUUUUUUUUUUUGGAUUUUUGUCACUUUUUUAGUGUUUAUCACUAAUUUUAGUUACCUACUUGAUUUUUAUCAUUUUUCUUAGUCACAAACAUCAAAUUUUAAUAAAAAUGACAUUGCAUAUCAUUUUCUAAUAAAAAAGUAACACUUCACUUUUAAAGUGACAUUGUGUCACUUUUGUUUUUUAAAUUUUUUUAUUAAAAUGGUGAUAAUUUAAAAUUAAAAAAUAGUGACAUUUUAUCACUUUUUAAUAGCACAUAGUAUUUUUUACUUCCAAAAAACUUUUCAUGUGAUUUUUGUAAGUUGCCCUAAAAUCAUCAUAUUUUUGCUUGAAUCAUCUUAUAAAUACUGUGGAAUAAUUUGGGACCCUGUUGAGAAAAAUUAUGGAAUAAUUAGGUCCAAUGCGGCCCAUUAAUUAAAAAAUUGAUAAUUACCUUUUCACUUUGCAAACUUUCGUUACCCGUACAAUAUAUGUUCUCAAAAGAAAGAUGGAUACAAUUCAACCCCAACCAAUCCGUAAAUAAGUGAUUUCUUUUUGCCAAAUCUGGGUGAUUUAUCUAUCACACACAAGUUCCUUGGCUUUUCUUGAGAUAAAUAGGUUGCGCCUCUUUUUGCUCCUCUUCCUGGCUGCCUUUCUUCUCUCUUCAGUUGGCACUCUAAUCGGCACUUGAGCACCAGACUUUGGAAUCUGUCCCGUGCAUUUUCCCCCUGCUCAUUGCCCCAUUCACUGUUCUUGUUUGGCUGCCUGUGUGCAGCGUUUUGGUCGAUUCUUAGAUCAUUCUUCUGUGAUCUUUGAGUGAGUAAUCUUGGUCCAAUUAGGGUAGUAUUGCUGUUUGAUUUGGGGCCCUUGAUCUGAGCCCAGAUUCAUCCACUUUUGGAGCCAAUCAAUUGGAGUUUUGAUAGUAAAGUAUUGUUAUUUCAUUUACUCAAUUUAUUCUCAUUGUCCUGUGAUUAUAUAACUAACUUUGUGUUGAUUAUUUGGUUGUUUGAUGAUGAUUUCUCCACAAAUCGGUAUCAGAACUAUUUUUUUUUUCUCCGUGACUUCGAAAUUGGCCGUUGUGUGUUGAGAAUUAAUCAGCUAUUAAACUGAAUUUUUGUUCGUGGUGCAAAUAUUGAUGGCAAAUGUUGUAGAGUUCAUAGAACAAUGAUUACAAAUAUCCAUUAGCCUUUAUUCAACCUAUGUAUUGAACUACAAAUAUUGUGUUAUGAUUUUAUCCAUCAUAAUCCCCUGUCCUCUGAUUUGGAGCUUUGUUAGUAUAGUACGAAAUGACACAAUCAGGAAUAGGGCUUUCCUUGGUCUCCUUGGUAACCUAGUCUUUCAAGAUUUUGAAGGGUAUGGAUAUAAAUCCACACUCUUGAUCACAAUCCUCUUAGUUUAGAGACUCCAAAUACUAUUCUCUGUAUGGUCUUUUUUCCGGGGGACGGGUAAUAAAAGGAUAAAAGAAAAAGAAAAAAACCUAAAAUUCACAUAUGAAGUGGACUAUAAUUAGCUCUAGAGGCAAAUAUACAAAUCACUAUCGUGGGAGUGACUAGUGGUGGUCUAUUCAGACUGAAACGUGUGAGUUUUUAUUGUUAAGGCUUUAUCAAAAGAGUUUGUCACUUUUUUUUCCCUCACUUUUUUUAAUUUUAUCACUUUUUUGAAAAUUUGUCAUUUUAUUGAAACUUUUUACCAAAAGUCUUAACAGAUAAAAUAGAUACUAAUUAUUCAAUGAGAAAACCACUAUCAUACUAUUUUUAUCACUUUUUUUAGCGUUUGUUACUUUUUUUAAAAUUUUGUCACUUUUUUUUUUCGUCACAUUAUCCUUUUUUUUACUUGCCUCACUUUUUUGAGUUAGUAACUUUUUUUGAAUGUGUCAUUUUUUUUAAAAAAAAAUUUGUCACUUUUUUUUUUGUUAUUUUUUGAGUGUUUUGUCACGUUUUAUUUUCUGUCACUUUUUUUAUUUGAGUAACUUUUUUUAAUUAAUAUCACUUUUUUUUAAUUCGUCACUUUUUCAAAUUUAUACCACUUUUUUAUUUUUAUUAUGAUUAUUAUUUCACUGUAACUAUUUUUAUCAUUUUUUCACUAUAACUAUUUUAUACAAAAUUGACUAUGCAUUUGAGUGGUUUUAUGUACAAUAUUGGAUAAUGUAGACUGCGAGAGAUAGUAUAUCGAAAUGAUGAAAAUGACGAUAAAAUACAAAUGAGCUUCUAAUUUUAUAUUAUUUCAUACUAUCUUAAUUUGCUCCCCAAUGAUGUGUUGUACUGAAUUCUGCAAAUUCAAGUUGUUAGUAGAAUAAUUCCUCUUGAACAGGCUCAAAAACAGAAGGAAACAGACUGAUGUGUGAAUUAAUUAUUGAUUGCUAUAUAUAUAUAUAUUUUUUCAAACUUUCCAAUCCCGAGUAGACACUUGUCUCUCCUUGUUUUCAAUCUGUCUCCAAACUUGUUUAUAUAGCAUGUUUGUUGUUGGUAUUUCUUUAAAAGGUAUUAAAAUAGCUAAGAAGUUAUUGUAUUAUUGGGUUGUGAGUAAUAUAUAUUUAUACAUUUUUUUACUUCUCUAGUGAAGCCAUUCUAUUUAUAAUUAGAAUAAUGCCCCGUUUGACCUCCAUUAUUUCAAUUUAUAAAUUUUGAAAUAAUAUUUUUGAAGAAUGUGUGGUUGAAAAAGAAUGAAAAGUUUUCGAUUAUCAAGUAAUAUUAUUUUAUGGAUGAUUGUGUGGUUAAAAAUAAUGGAGAGAAUUAUAAUUUGAAAUAAUGGGGCCAAACUGGGUUAAAUUCUUAUGUUUUUGAAAGGGGUAAUUACCAAAAAAACAUUCAUAUCGUUUUCACUCAUUGAGAAAACAGUCCAUAUCAAUUCAAACUUGACAUUCACACACUCAUUUUAAUCUUUCUUAUAGAGUUGGUCCUUUUUGUCAUGUUCCGUUAAAUUCCAAUUUGCUUGAAAGGUUCUUGUUGUUCACCUUAAUUAAGCAAAUCGUCCAUAUCAUUUUAAUUUUGAUAUUUGAUUAACAUUUCUUUACGUAAGAGGUCCUGAUGAGUUAACAUCCUAAUACUAAACUCAAGCUAUAUGCACUAAAGUGCUACCACUUCGUGCUGGAGACUAAUGAAUGUGUUGUUUCUUAACCUAUCUAAUCAAGACGGACAACAUUGUCACAACUUAAAAACUUCAAGACGAAAAACAUGCUCAAACUAUUUUAGAUUCGUUUAGCUGACUUGGUAAAAAAAUCCAUGUAAUACUUGCUUCCGUGACGUUUUUAAUUCUUGAUUUGCAGUGAAUUCUGGUUUAUUUUUCAACUUAUAAUAAUUUGUUUAUCAAGUGCCCUUUUUCUUGCAAUGAUUGCACCAUCAACAAUGAGGCCAUCGCCAUGACUUUCAGAUGCUAUAAUAUGCUUCAUCUUCUUCUUUAAAUAUAGAGCAUCAUAUACUUCUUUGAUGGUUAGAGUAUUACAACUAUAUAAAAUCCUGUCUCUAAACGACAUGUAUAAAGUGGGCAAUGAACACAAUAAAAUCAUCCCUAAUCUUCUUCAUCAUAUUUGAACUCAAAGAUCUCGAAAUUAUCGACGAUUUCCUUAAAAGUAGUCAGGUGAUCUUCAAGUAAUGUACAUUUUGUCAUAUGAUGAGAAUAUAGAUGUUGCAUCAAAUGCAAUUUGCUAGUAAGAUUCUUUGUCAUAUUUAAUUGCUUCAAUUUUAGCCAUAAUGCAGCGAUUGACUUCUCCUUCAAGAUGCCAUGAAGAAUAUUAUUUAAAUGAUAAAGAUGUAUUUAAGAUAGGGUCACCUUUCGAUCCCUCUAUUAUUUUUCCUCUGGGGUCCAAGUUAUAGGCAUCUUGUCAAAUCCCAAUAACACGUCUUUCAAAUUCAUCUAAGAGAUUACUGUUUAUAUCUUUACCUACCACAAAGAGAAUCUUAUAUUGUGAUCUAAUAGCAGAACAUCAUACUUUAUUUUUGUCAUUACGAAUCAAAACCUCGAUCGUCCCAAGAAUUUCAAAACCAAAAACAUUGUUGUGAAAUGAAGAUGAUACUGGAUUAAUUCGAUACCACUCUAUUGAAGAAAUAAAAGAUUAUAGCCACAAAUGAAGUAAAGAUCUCAAAGGCACAAGAACAAUGUAAUUUGUAGAGUAAAUGAGGUUUUACUAUAAUAUAAAGAAAGAAUACAUAGACUUGUGACUACAAUAUUUCUAACUUAGCCUAAAUCAUAAUGAAGAUCCAGUUAUAUAUAGGGAAGAAAUAAGGGAUGCCCAAAACCCUAAUAGUAGAGUUAUAGUUAAAGUAGAAUGCAAAAAAAAUAAAAAAACUCGUCAAAGAGCGAAAAAGGGGCCUAGGUUGGAAACACCGCUGCUCGAGUGGGUAGCUAGCGAUAGGCUAGAAGUUCCCCGGCCCUCGAGCAGUAGACUAGCACAAUGCGAGCUCCAACUUCUCUACUUUUGGCGCUUGGGCACCCAAAUACGACAAGAAAACCUUUCGUCUCAUAAUUUUAGCCUCUUCCUGUCCAACACAAAUUUCAACUCUUAAUAGGGCUUCUAAAUAAAAUUUCAACUAGAAUUUGUCGAAUAAACUUAAUUAGAAUUCUACUAUAGCAUUCCAAAUAAAGUUUCUCUAAAAGUGUACUUUAAUUAGAAUUCUUAAUUAUCUUUAAUAAAGAAUUUGGGUCCCAUCAAAAUUAUAACAUGCAUGAAUUAAGAAGUAUAGUAAUGUAAUUUUGGGAAGUACAAAAUAUAUCAAUUUUAUAACUAAAAAUUAUAUUAAUUUUAAUAUUAUGAAUUGCCAAAAAAAUAAAGUUUGAUGUAUAUACAGUAUCCUUUGAAGCGAAAGUAUAUUAUGUUAUUUAGACAAAUUAAUCUCUUAUGACUUUGAUUACGGAUAAAAAAACAAACAUAAAAUGUUAGUGUUUCUACAUGGAUAUUCUUAGACAUUUCGAAAGGAAUUAUGGACGAAGUUGACAAAUGAUAUCUCAACACUGUGUAUUGAAACUACACAUGUUUUACCAACCCAUCGUAUUCUAUAAUCAUUAGUUUAUUAGAAUAAUUUCUUGAAGAAUAGCGCUUGAAAGUGUAAUAGGCACAUGAGCCUCCCCAUCACCUCUUUCCUUCACUCAUAUUCGUGCAUUGCAUUUUUGCAGGUGAUGUCUAUGAAUAAUUUUUAGCGUUUUAGAUUAGCAUUCAAUUUACAUUUUCCUUAUAGAAGUCAUAUUUUCAGAUUUGUUAUCACCUUAGUUGUCAUUAACUGAAAAACUCCAUGGAUAGUUAACUUAUAAAAUAAAUACAUCCCUUAAUUGGAUAUUGAUUCAGAAAUAUAAUACCCAUGUGAUAAUUGGAUAUCAGAUUACACCAAGUACCAUGCUUUUGUUUUUAACUAUCAUUCAUAUGAAAACUUUGAUUUCUUGUAUCGAAUACAAAUUUUCUUUACUCAGUAUAUUCUUACCAUAGCUCGAUUUAUGUAUAUGGCCUAUAUUCUUGUGUAAGUAUAAAUACAGUAGAUAAUUCUCUAAAGAUACAAGCAGCUAUUUGGCUCAACUGAGCCGGAAGACUUCCCAAUGGCGUUAAUGCAUGACGAAUGAGCCGGCUCAUUUUUAUAGGUCAGCCUAACAUCUUCCAAGGUAAUCCUCUGGUUGCAUUGACAUAAAAAGUGUCUGAAAUCUCCAAUAAAUUUGUAUCUAUAUUGCUAAUCUGAAGCAUAAAAAUAAUCUCAUUAAUUAUAAGUGGCAGCUAAAUAAGCUGAAAACAAACUGAAAAAAAGCCAUUUAUUUACACCUGCCAUUGAUAGGCUUUUAACACUGCAGGGUUCACCCAUUCCAUAAAGAUCUUUCCAUUCAUUAGACUACAGAUUAGUGCAAACUGAAAAGUGAUCCCCCUGUUAAUGAGCAAUUUGUUUCGAAUAUAAGAAAUUAUCAAUAUGUUCAACUAAUCUUAGAAAAAAGUAAAAGUUACUUUGUGAAUUACUUACUUUUUUAGUAAAAAGGUUUUUAAAUUUUCUAAGUAUCUAAAUGAAAAAUUUGACGUGAUAGUUUGGACAUUUAUCGACUAGAUUGUCACGUCAUUUUUUUCGAUAGUCAAACUAACACACAUGAAAACUCGAUUGGAAUAAUGUUUAAUGUCAGUGACUAAAUAGUGUUAAAUGUCCAUGAUCAUGAAAGUGAUAUAGUAUCAAGAGCGUGUUAGAACUUUUAAAAAGUUAUAAGUAAUAAGAAAGUUUUAAGAUAGGCAAGUUUUGAAAAGAAGUAAGAAACAAAUUCCAAAACAAGUAAUGUUAAAACCUUGGAAAAUGGCUCUCCAUCAACUAUAAGAUCCAUCAAUUGGACGGCUGUGAUGGCCCCUGUUACCAUGCCGAUCCCGAUUCCAUGCAGUAGACCGGUUUCUGUAGUCUUCACCCUCACCCCAUUUUAAGUUCCUGUAAAUGUAGCUGAUUUAACUGUCACAUUUUGCACUCCGGGGUCUUGCAAAUCCCAGCCUAGACUCCCAAUGCUGGGGAAAAGGAGCACAAAUUAGUUAACUCAGCUUAAUAAAUUGUUGGGAUACAUUAUGUCAUACUUCCUCUAUUACAAAAAAUAGAAUUGCUUUCCUUUUUCGUCUGUCUCAAAAUAUUGGUCACUUUCCUUGUUGAUAUUAUAAUUAAUUUCUUAGUUUUCUAAUAUACUCCUAUUUGACGUGUUAUCUUAUGAAAAAAUAUGAAUUAUUCUUAUUUAAACCAUUAUUUAAUGUAGAAAUAUGUUAGGAAAAAAUAUAAGAAAAAUUUAUAUUUUCAACUAUUUUACUUACAUGUUUCUUAAUUCAUGUGAAAAUAUAAAUAUGUUUAUCUUUGUGGGACGUAAGGAGUACGAUUACAUCUAUUUUAAUGAAGAUUGUGUAAUUGAAAAUGAAUACUGUAGAAAAAUUAUGUGGUAAAAUGGUUGACAAACAAAAGCUAUAUCUAUUGUGGCUGUCAAUUUUUAAUUUACGUUUUUAGUACCUGAUUCCAUGGCCAGGGCCGCAUGCAAUGGUCUCAAUCCACAAGUUCGAGGUGCCGAGGCCUAUAGAGACACAAUCAUCUAGGGUGACAAUCCGAGAGUUCAUAAUUGUGACUCCUGUUGAUUUCUCCACGUGAAUUCCGUCAGUGUUUGGGCUGUUGCCUGGUGCAGAAACCUUUAUUCCCACUAGCUUGGUAUUGUGGCAUCCAUCAACAAGAAUGUUGAACUUCUGGCUAUUUAUUGAAGACAAUCAAUUCAUUAUGAUGUUGUUGGAAUUGUAGAAGGCCAGUGUCUGAGCAAGAAAGAAUCGAAAAAUUACGUUUGAAUGUACAAGAUGAUAUAAAGUAAAAUCCACUUUCUUCUUUAUUAACAUACCGUUGCUCCGGUUGGACAACUCUUGCCGGAAUUUUUGCUAGCCCACAAAUUAGUCCCUUGGCCAUCUGGGGUUCCACCAAUAACAGAAACUCCAGUCACACUUUCGAACUUGAUCCAGUUACCAGAAUUUCCAAUAACUUUAAAAUCAGAUGGAGCUACUAGUGUCCUAUCAAUUUGAAUCGUUAUAGCAGUGUUUUUCCAUGACUUGCCAACAAAAGUUGUAGCUCCAAGCAUCUUCCCGGUGGCACGUAAAUGGUGGCCGGCUGUGUAGUAGCACAUGCUGAGGUCCAUGCACUCAAGAAUGCCUUGGUACAAUCAGUUUUUCCACCAGAUUUUGCUCCCAAACUUUGGACAGUGGCGGAUACAGACAUUUUACAUUAGGCGGUCACAAUCAAAUUUUAAAAAAAAAGCGACGAAAUUUUUUUUAUUACUUUAUAUGGGUUAUAAACUGUACUUUUUUAUCUAGAUUAUUUUUAUAUAAAAAAAAUUUUGAUCAUUUUUAGGAUUUUUUUUUUAUUAUUGUUACUUUUUCCUCUCAAUCUAUUAAUUUUUUUUUUAAAAAAAUAAUCUAAUAAAUUUCCUAAUAAAAAUUUUGACGUCAUUUGAAAAAAAAUAAUUGAUCGAGGAAAAUGUAACAAUAAUAAAAAAAAAUCCUAAAAAUGAUUUAAUUUUUUUCAGAUAUAAAAAUAAUUAAGAUGAAAAAGUAAUAUAACAAUUUAUAACACCUAUGAAGUAAUAAAAAUUUUAUUAAAAAUUUUUACGUCCAAAAAUAAAUAAAAUUUGACGUCAUACCACAUAAAAAAUUUCCUAAUAAAAUGAUGUAAACUAUAUUGAGAAAUUUUUCACGCAAAAAUAAUAAACAUUAAUAAAAUAAUUGAUUUUUUUUUCAAAAAAAAACAAGUUAUACGUCUUUUUUUAGUAUACACGUUUGACGUACGUUUAACUAUUCUCGAUAUUCAUUUAGAUCAUUCGAUGUGUUUAUAAUAUAAUUCUCGAAAUGAGCUUCAAGAGGAUAUAGAAGAUUUAUAGAUAUGACUAGCGUAUAAACGUCGAAAAUUUUUUAAAGUUAGCUUGUUAUCAAAUUUCUGGAAAUAUUAGUUUGAAACUGCCUAUUUUGACGCAUCAUAACAUUUGCUACGAUUGGCCAUUUCGCACAACAUUAACGACAUAAAAAUACUAGCUUGUGAGUACUUCAAAAUGAUAUUAAGAAUAUAAUAUUUCAAUUUCGUUUGAUAUUUCAUUGUGAGCCCGAAAACUAAGAUGACGACGAAAAAAAAAUGGAAAUUGGAGGGUCAAGUGACCCUUGGGUCUGCCCCUGACUUUGGACAUUGUAAUUAGCAUUGGCUGCAAUUGAUGAGUAGUGGAAGAAGGUCCACAGGAAAUAUUGGAAAGCAAGGAAAAAUCUUAAAGCUCCAGCCUUUUUUUUUUUUUUUCGUCGUUUGUAUUUGUGUGUUAUAGAGAGAGAGAGAGAGAAAGAGUGGAUGAGGAGAUGAAGCAGUUAUAAGAGGUAUUUAUAGGCUAUAAGUUGAGUGCAAAUUUGGCCGAAGUUGGAUUUUUGGAGAUUAGAGAAAAUUUGUUUGGACAAAUAAGAAUUUCAAGUUAUUUAGUGCAAUAAGAAAAUAUAUAUUUUUUAGUAAAAAAUUACAUGAUCCAUCUAGAAUAGUUUAGUUUAUUUAUUAAUUUGUUUAGGAGUCAUCACCCAUAUCCCUGAAUUUAUUGUUGGUUAUUUUGAUUGUUUGAGCUAAGUAACCAUUGUUUCAUUUAUUUAAUUUGUGAAAUUUGAUUUUUCAAAAAUAUGAUAUCGUGUAACACUCAAACCAACAUAGACCCUAGGGAAAGCACGAUGAAUAAGAUUAUCAAACCGUCACACACAGUGCCUUUUACAGUCAACAGAAAAAUUUGGGGAGUACCUUUUUACUUUUCUUCUCUAGGGUUUUUGUGCUUAUUUAUGCAAAUAUGACAUUAAAGAAAAUGUCAAUUUUAAGUUUGGGGGUAAAAUAACUUUUAGUUCUUGUUUUUCAUAUGUUUUUGUAUGUUUGUUUAAAUAUAAAAAAAGAAAAAUUUAAAGAAUUUUUUUUUUAAAAUCUCUUUUGUUUAGUAGUGUGCUUGUGUGGGUUAGACAAUCUGGCAGACAAUGAUGAUUUAAUUUGAGAUUUGGUGUUAAUUUAUGAACUUGUGAAUAGGAUGCAUGCUAGACUAAUUAAAGCUCAAUCAUGCAAAACUUGAUAUUACAAGCGUAAUAGAAUUGAAUUUGACAUUGUGAUUAAAUGAGUGGUUUAUUGCUUUUGAUAGGUUGGUCUAGUUGGACAUAGAUAUUUUACCUAAACCAUAUUAAACUAUCUACCCUUAGACCAAAUUUAGCUCAGUUUGAGGGUGAUUUUACUGUUGUAGGAAGAUGCGGUUGUGAAUGUGAAUUCCAUCUGUGAAAACUUAUGUAUGGAUUGUCUUACACUAACAUGAUAAAACUCUGCGAAAGUCUUAAGUUUGAGGUCGAUUUGUAUGAAUAAGUGUGUAAUAAGGGGCAUUGCAUUAAUCAAGACAUAUACAUUUGAAAAUUUUGAACUUCUCUCUGAAGCUUUUAUGACUUGAGUGAUUAAGUCUGCAAGUGUAUCUUAAAAUCUGGUGCUCUAAAGUCGUCUAAUUUGGGAGUCAUCGACCUAAAGCUUGCUACAGGGGUCAUUUAGAAAUCUUAAUGGAGAUGAAGUUGCACUUGUAAAAAAAAUAAAUAAAUAAAUAAAUCUCUUCGACGCCUUUUUUACUCAGGUCAAUAAGCCUGUACGGGUGUUUAAAACUUGGUGCCCUAAAAUCAUCUGAUUUGGGAGUUAUCGGCCUAAAGUCUGCUAUAGGGUCAUCUAGAAAGUUUAAUGGAGAGAAUGUAAAAAAUCAAAAAUAAAAAUAAAAUAACUUGUGAAAAACCAAAAAAAGAGCUUGUGCAUGAAAAGAGUAAAGCACUAAAUACCUUGGUUAAGCCCCUAACACUUAUUUAAGGAAAUUUGACCUUCGAUGAAGGAUAUUAGCCUAGUUGAGUUUUGGAGGUCGAACCAAUCAAAUAAUUGGAGAAUCCUUGUUCAUUGAAGUAUUGACUUGCAACUCUUAACAUCCACCUGAACUUGAGAGGGUGAGGAAAGUAAUGAAAUAUUAAACCUUAAGUUACACACUGAAAAGAGUGAAAAAAAUAAGUUUGGGGAUGUGUGAAUCUUACGAGUGAUGAAAGGACAUAUAUGAUCAUUAAGGGUUUGGAAUUGGAAUAACUUGUGAAUUCAUUAAUGUCUACUUAAUUCUUCACACACAGGUCGAUUUUGCACUGGAAGAGUGGACAUUGGUUUUGUAUCGUGACUUUGAAGCAUGUUUAUGGAAUUAACACUUAGAUCUUGAAUCUUGAGGUGAGAAACUCAAUUUUCCAACCAAAUAUUUUUCCAUAACUGUGUGUUUACUGCUAUUUAGUUUAUAGUUUUGUUUGAGGACAAACAAAUAUUUAAGUUUGGGGGAUUUGAUAAGUGUAUUUUUUACACUUAUUCGGUACCUUAAAUCGACAUUAAGUUUUUGGCACUGUUGCCAGGGAUAGGAGCCAAAGAUAAUUUAUUCUUUGAUGGUCCCCCUCCUCCCUCGAUCAUACGAUAGGUUGAUAUUCCUGGCGAAUCCGGUUUCGUUUAAUCAGAUUCUCCUCUCCUUUGGUUCUAUCUUUGAUAAAUGUAUUUUUUACACUUGUUUGAUAACUUAAAUAGUGAUAUUUGAUAGUUCGUUUGACAAAUUAUAUUUUAAAUUUUUAAAUUUUAUGUUUAAUAGGUGAAAUUUUAUGAAUGAAAAGGAAUUGAAGGAAAGAAGCAAAAAUGGGCGAAAAAUGACAAAAUCCAAAGUAGGGUUACUGAAUUGGCAACUGGAUGAAUCGAAGGAGUCAUUGGUUGCAUAAUUAAUUGGGAAAGGAGUGAAUUGGAUGACUUUAAAAUAAUUGAGGACUUGGAGAGAAAUAAGAUAUAAAUGGGCCUAAACUUGAAUUUACUCAGGCUGCACUUCAAGCGCAAUCGAAAUACAUAUGGAACUUUAACAAUUCAACAAUAGAUGGCAGAUUUGGACUUCUGGACCAUGAAGACACGCAUAAAUUAAAGUCCCCCUUGGAGUUAAUCAGUGGCUGCUAGGUUAUAUUUAUAUAGAGACAGACAAGAACGAGAAAGGAGGAGGAGACACGCACGGAAAUUGAGAGGUAGCAUAUUUUAUAUUUUUCACACUUUGAGGCUGCCUAUAUUUCCACGCACAGAAAACGGAGGGCCAGCCAAUAUUAUAGAAUUUAGCCACGUAUUUGAGGGCUGACUUAGUAUUGAAAUUAAUUUGUGGCAGCCAAUAUUAUAAAAUAUUAUAGAAUUUAGCCACAUAUUUGAGGGCUGACUUACUAUUGAAACUAAUUUGUGGCAGCCAAUAUUAUAGAAUUUAACCACAUAUUUGAGGGCUGACUUACUAGUUACUAUUGAAAUUAAUCUGUGGCGGCUGAAGGAAAGAAGUUGUUGGCUGCCAUUAAUAUAGAGAUAGAAGCUGUCGAGUGCAACGAUAAUACACGGAAAUUGAGGCAGAUUUUUGGAGAGAUACAUUAAAAAAGGGCAGCAGCUGGGGAAAGGAUUUACACAAAAGCAGCAAAGACGACAUAAGGCAUAAUUGGAAAUUAUUUACGUUCUAUCAACUUCCGAUGAUGUCUUCCAUAAUUUUUUUUUUUCCAUUAAUAUGAGCAGUUAAAUUUUAUUUUAGGAUGAACAAUGUAACUGACUUGGGAAUCCUUUUUUUUUUUUUUUUUUAGUUUUUUUUUUUUUUUUUUUUUAAAAAUUUUUUUUUUUUUUAGUUUUUUUUUUUUUUUUUUUCUUUUUUUUUUUUUUUUUUAGAUUUUUGUUCUUUUAUAUUUUAUGUGUGGAUUUUAAAUAUGUUAUCAAUACUUUGAAUUUUUUGGCCAAUUAUUCGAUGAUUUCGUGAACAAUAAUUAUGUAGAGAUGCAGAUUCUUGUUUAGACCACAUAUUAAAAUCUAAUCAAUUAAUAUAACGUAUAGAGAUAUUUAUAUUAAUUACUGUGGUCCUAUAGACAUUCUUAAAACUAUUAUUUCGCUUAAAUAAUGUUGAUUUGCAUAGAGAUAUGAAAUUGAAUGAUGUAGAUAGGCUCAAUGAGGACUCGAGAUGGAUAAAUUACCAUAGAACAAUUUGAUCAAACGCUACUUUAAUUUUAUGAAUCUCGAUAUUAGAAGUAAAGGUGACCAAUGGGUGAAUUUGUUCCACCCUAAUCUCCAUUUACUAAUUGAAUUCUCAUUCAUUUUCUAUUGCAUUCACGAAAUUUUUAGUAGUUAGAUUUAAAAAUCACAUUCAAUCAUUUUUUUUUUAUCAAAUAGAAGUUAUGAAUAAUAAAUUGAGUACUAAAGUAUAUUCCUCUUAGGAACAAUAAUCCGGACUCAAAAGGUCAACUUUACUAGUUACGAUCCGUCCACUUGCGGGAUAAAAUUGAUAAUAAGUUUUUGAUGCCGUUGCCAGGGAUAGGAGCCAAGGAUAAUUUAUUCUUUGAUGGUUCCCCCUCCUCCCUCGAUCGUACGAUAGGUCAAUAUUCCUGGCGCAUCUGGUUUCAUUUAAUCAGAUUCUCCUCUCCUUUGGUUCUGUCUUCCACCAUCUUUCCGGCUUGACUAAUGUUGUCUAGACCAAAUAAGUUUGACAUUUUAAGAUGGAACCUCGAUAUUUAGAAGUUGUUGAGAUAUUGCUGAAGAUCAGUUCAUUAAAUAUGUUAACAUGGAAAAGGUGUAAAGAUUUGCCAUAUUAUCCCUUUUUAUGUAAGACUGUUGAAGAUCGAACAUAGUGCAGUGGGACAUGGUUUUACAUAUCGUAAAAAUAUGAAAGUUAUGUCCAGUGACCUAAAACUAUGAUGAUAAUUAUGCAUAUAUUUAUCAAUUACAGAAACCACACUUAAUAGAAAAACAAAAUUUUCUUUUAUAUCCAAUUUCAGUAGCGAUAGGGUCAUAAUCAAUGUAAAAUACAUCUUCAUCCUAAUACACAUUUUCUUGAGGAUUUCACUCUAAUGGCGCAUUUCAUCUGAUCAGGAAUGUAUCGAAAAUUUAACAAGUUAACAUUUAUUAACUUGGACAUUAGUACAUAUUGUUUUAAAGGAAUGCAGAGGAAAAAGUUCUCACUGAAUUUAUAAAAAUAAAAAAAAUAAAAAUUAAUUAAUUUAUUGUUCAUUUAUUGACGUUUUAAUCGGAAUUGAAAAAUGAUGGAUCUAAUAGAGUGAAAUUUCAACUACUGAUGAAACAGAUAACAAAAUAGGUUGAAAAUAAAGAAGACUAAGAGUAUUUGUAAAAUAAAUUAGUGAAUUAGGCAACUUUUCUCGUCGGAAAUUAAUCUUCAAUUUGAACUAUGUACAGAAAGAAUGGCAUGUGGAUCGUGCAAUUAAUUACCAUCUUAAUUUUAUCUCUAUUCAUCAUUAGUUCGUUGGCUAUUGUUGGGGGGUCAAAUUUUAGGCAAUAAAAUUUCGUCCAAAAUGUGGUGUGUAACGUGUGGUUAAUUGCAUUUAUUUUUCAUCCAAAUUCCUACUUUGAGUGUUUGAUUGCAAUUUUUUUUAUUGAAAAUAUUUUUCGACUUUUGAAAAUAUGUCUAAUAUUUCUUGUUUUUAAGAAAAUAUUUUCUUUGGAGUAAGUAGGUUUUUGUUUUUCUCAAAAUAGGGAAAACAUUUUUUUUUCUAGGCAAUAUUUUUCAUGUCAAUUAAAUUACACUCAAAUUUCUUUAUGUAAUAAAGGAAAGCAAAAAAUUAUGAAAGGAACAUAAUUUAUAAAUGAACCCACGAAGCACGCGAAAAUACUUCCCAACUUUUAUAUUCGCAAUAAUAGAACAAUCACAAACUUGACAACGGAUCAAAAAAAAUGCACUCUAUGCUUUUGUGUCUCAUGUCAUGAGUAUAUAUAAAAUUCGUUGGCCUGUUGAGGUACAUUUCGCGAUUUACCUCCCUCACGAUACUCUAGGAACGAGACGGUGGGGACUCUCAAAAUUGGGGUUCAACCUUUUAAGAAUCCAAAGUUUUCCAUCCCGAAAACUGUCACGGCCAAAUAGGUAACCAACUUUCCUGUAGAAAUUGCUUUGCACGCGUUAAUUGCUUGAAGUAUAACUGCUGAAAGUAACCGCCUCAGCGAACUUAGUCCAGCUAACUCCAAAGUUAUCUGCAAGCCAUUGUUAUAAAAAUCGAACCAGAACAGUCGAUUCAACCCAAAAAUCGAUGAACCGAACAAUGAUCCGCGGUCCGAUUGACAAUAAUUGGUGCAAUUACAAAUGAACUGGUCAAGAACUCCUCAAACCGGUUCAUUACUGCCUUCAGCGAUUUUCAUUGAAAACGGAAACCGAUUCGUAUUGAACCGAUUUUUUUAUUAUUAUUAUUAUCAAAUUAGUCAAAACUUUAGAGCAAAAGGAGAUAUUCGAACCUCUAUUUCCUUGCGUAAAAAGUUGGAACCAUGACCAUUAUGGCACCUAUAAAGUAUUACCGUGAGUGAAAAAUAUAUAAUUGCUUUUAGCACAGCAACAAAAAAUAAAAUUUAUAAUAUAUUUUUGCUUUAAAAAAUUAAAAUAAGAUCAACAAUGACCCACUAGUUAACCACUAAUCCAGUUAUUCGAUAAUUUUUUUGAUCAAGGACCAGGUCAGGUUUGCUAACUAUGCCACAAGCUGAUUUCCAGGUCUGAAUACAACGAAUCUGCUAGGCUGUGUUCAGCCGAAGGCCAACCCCGCUAACUGCCUUACACUUCGGGCUCCACCCAUGCCAUGCUUCAUCCAUGCAUUAUCAAUCCAAUCAUUCCUGAAUGAUUAUCGACAAUAAUACCUUACAUAGAAUAUUCCUAGAAAUGUACUUUAUCCAAAAUAUCCCGAGUAUGGCAUCAACAUGGGAGCAAGGCACCACUCAUGCCUUAGCCGUUUCAGCACUUGUGACCAUCAAGGAAGUGACAACUAUCCAUUCCUAUAUAUUUCUCGUACCCUGUAUGUUUAAAUCUAAUUAAUUCUGUAAUUUUGAUGUAUUUUAAAAAGAAUUUACUAAGGACACCAAUUAUAAUUUGUGUUGAUUAAAGCACCAAAGCUUGGUCUAUAUUUUUAUGCCUCAAUCGAAAGUCAACGUAGUCCCCUAUCAUGUCAAUAGAUGAUAUUUCGGACUACGAGGAAGAAAGCCUUACCUUAGAACUUACAUCGAGAUGGAGAUGAAGAAUUAGGAGGUAAUUCUUUCCUUACAAAAUAUAUAUAAUAUUCAGUAUUUUGGUCAAUUUAAUUUAUUUUUGAAACUCUACUAAAUUGAUAAGCAAGAAAUUUGAGUUGUAAUUAUUAUUCUUGAACAAAUGUAAAUUUGUUCAAUAUCUUAACUAAUACAAGCAAGCCAACAGAUCUUUUGGAACAAGCAACUUAAUUUGUAUGCGAACAAACUGGCCAAUGAUUUAGCCACAUUAGAAUUUCUCGUAACUUGUCGCCAUACUUUACAUUUGUAACGAUGAUGCAAAUAGUAACAUGCACAAUAUCAUUUUUCCAUUAAAAAAAUUGUAUUCAGUACAUGAUUUGUGUAUUAAUGAAAUUCAUUUUUUAUCAGAAGUUUGAUAUAUAACACAAUGAAUAAUGGCGAGAUGAUUUAAAUUCAAACUUUUACCUUUUAUUAUAUUUAUUUAUUUAUUUAUGAAGUGCUAUGAUGAAAAACUCUCUAUAAUAUUGACUAUGUCAACCUUUAUAUCUUGUUAGUUGCGACACCCCACUCUAACACAAAUAUGAACUAAUAAUUAUUUCACUUUUGUAAAUGUGUACACAGUGUCCAUAAAAAAAUCUUCUUCAGAAUUUAAUAUCAAAUAAAAGAAAAUAUAUAAAGAUAGAUUUUCAGCUAUUAAAAUUUUUUGAUAAACCAAAAUUUUAGGCAAUCAACACUGUGUAUCACUUUUCUAAGCAACUUUACAUCAUCCACUCUCGGUGUCAGUCUCAAAAUCUUUGGGACUUUAGGACUUUAGGCCAACUUCAAAUAUAAGGCCCUUAUAUAUAUUUCAAAUAUAUAAUUAUAAACAAUAACACUUUUCAUUAAUAAAAAUAUUCAAAGUUACAAAAAUAAUGACCUAAAACUUUCAAACGUCUAAAUUAAAUUCACUUUUUUAGAAUUUUUUGAUGUGAUUACAGUCAAUAUGUUAUAAAAUUUCUUUUUCAAUAGACAUUAUAUCCAAUCCAGUCAAACUUUUUUUGUAACAUUGUAGAACAAUUGUAAGCUUUUAUCAACUCCAACAUUAAGAAGUUCCUCUCAGAAGAUGCAACUGCAACUGUAACUAUAACUGUAACUGUAACUGUAACUGUAACUGUAACUGAUAUAGUUAAUAAUAUGAUCUAUCAAUCCACACAUCUUGAGUUAUCAUCGGAGUACAAAUUUCAAAUAAAGAAUAUAUGAAAAAAAAUUGCAAAAUAUACUUGUUGAAAAAACUAAGAUAGAAGGAUGAUUCAUAAAUAUUAUUUUGUUAAAAAAUAGGGGGGGAAAGAAGGUAAAGAAAUCAAUAAACUUGUAUCAUUGAGAACUAAAACUCCAUAUUUAUAUAGAAGAAUUAGGACUACAAUGAAUAAUAGUCAUAAUAACUAGUGUUGCGAGGGUAUAAUGGUUAGUCAUUAAUAAAUAUAUAAUUUACAAUAUUCUCCUUUGGAUGACACAUUACAAAGUAUCUACCUCAUCAAAAAUAUUGUCAAUAAAACUCAAUAGGACAAAAUUUGAGCUCAAGAAAAGAGUACAAUUGCUCUCUUAAUUUCAAUAAAUGAAGAUUUUUGUAUCGAGUCAUUCAUGUUUAUAUGUCAAUAUAUUUAAUAUUGCAAUUCUGGUGAAACAUGUUUUUAUUGUCUUGUUAUAACUUUCAAGCAAUAUCUUCUUCAUAGAUGAUAUUUAUCAAUCUUUGUUUGUCUUUAGUCACACGAUAAUAUAUUGAAAAACAGAUUGUGUUGUUACUCUCUUCAAAAGUCAUAGACAAUUUGUAACAUAUAAGAGUAUAAUUUGAGGGUAUAUAUCAUGUAGGUUAUGAACAUCAUUACACAAGAAUAUGCCUCGUUAAAAACCUUAUUAGGAGAAGUCCUGUAGGAAAAAUCUUAAUAAGGAAAAAAGUGUGCAUUAUGCUUUUGAGUACAUUACAAAAGUUGUCUAUUUAAAAACCUUGUCAAAAAAUCGAUGGGAAAAAUCUUGAUCAAGGGAAAAAGAUUACAAUAUAUAUUUUCUCUCAUCAUGAUAAAACCACUUAAAUUAUAUGCUUCAGGUAAAUUUAAUAAUUCAAACAUAAAUUAAUUGUCAUGUCAGAUGAAUUAACUAUAAUUGCAUUUCAAAUUUCGUGCAUCGUCAGGGUGACAAGAUAUGGACUUAUAAUUGUAUCCACCAUUAUUUUGUAAGCUUUAUUAUGUUAAGAAUCAUACAUUAUAUGCUAUGACUUCAUUUUUCUGAUUUACCUUUUAGGUUUAGAUACUUCAAGUUUCUCUAACAAAUUUAAUUUGAUUAGGAUUAUGUCUUUUUAUUUAGCCAAUAAUUUUUUCGAUAGAUAUACUUUAAUAAAUUUAUUUCGAUAUCCUCGCUAUCAAUAAUAUGAAGCGAUACAUUACGUUAAAAUAUAUUGUCGACAAAUUUUUAUUUUAGAUUAUAUUUCUUUCUCAUAAUGACAUGCAUUAUUGAAAUAUCUCAAUUUUUAGCAUUUCAGGUACCUGAACCUCUUUUAGAGUUUUACAUUUUAUUUCAUAUCUAUAUACUCCUCCAAGAAUAUAUGUCUCCUUGAUGAACUAUCUAUGUUAAUUUCUCUAUUUUCUUUUUAAAAUUUUUAUAUCAGAAUCGAAUGUAAUGCUUUAUGCGUGUCAUAUAUACUUAUCAAAUAUAACAUUAAUUAAGUGUCCUUCAAUGACGUGAAUUUUGAGUUGGAGUAUUUAAAACUGGUAUGUGAGAUAUAUUUGACUCUUUGAUUAGUAAAUGUAUUUAAAUGAGAAAUCUUUUCGAAUUUUUUUUUUUAGGAUCCAGAUAAUAUAAUAAAGCAUAUAUACAUUAUUUUUAACCUCUUAAUUCAUCCUAAUAUUGAGAGAAUUGUUUAGUCAAACUGACAAUCAAUAGACAGUGUUAUAAAAUAUCACCCGCUAAAGUAUAAGAAAAUUCAUAAGGGUUCAAAAUACGUAUUUAUUUUCAGCAUUCUUUACCAUGCAUUGUGGUGGAUUAAUUGUACUUUGUACUAUAAAAAUAAUUUGUUGAAAAUACUACUUUCUGAUUUGAUCAUAAGUCAAAAUAGUGAGAAAAACUUUGGUGUUGGUACGAUGCUAAUAACAUUCUCUAAACAGAAGCGGGAAGUACUUUGUUCUCAUAGUAAUGAUUAAGAAAUAAAUUAGAGGGAUAACAAGCAAUAUUGCUAAACCAUAUUUAUCGACAUCACAGGUAAUAUUUAUUAAAAGAUUGAGAUUUAAGCUCACUAGUAUUAAUAAAACACAUUUUCUUUAUUGUAUAAUAUAAAAAUUAUACUCAUAAUUUAAAACUUGAACAGCAAUUUUGUAAACUUUAAGUUGCAAGCAUAGUGCAAUCAUUUAGUAUGUGUAUUAUAUUUAUUAAGUAUAAAUAAUAUUUAGAUGAUUAACAUGGAUAGUAACAACUCCCGUAUAACACCAUAAUUAAUUUUCUAGAUUAUAAGGAUUUAUACUAAAAUGUUUAAACCCUAACCUUAAGGGUCCCCCACCACCUCUGCCCUGGAGUAUCGUGAGGGAGGUAAAUCGCAGGUUAUGCCUCCAAGGGUAAAGGGUGGAAGGCUGCUUGUAUACUUGCACUUACCCAAGAGCCAAAUCCAUAUUUCAGGAUUCGAACCCUUGACGCAGCAGCCUCAAACAAAGCUGGAUUUCUCCACCCUUCCUUUUUACCACUUGGAGAUGUGCCCUGGGGGCAUAAGGAUUUAAUACUAACAUUAGGUUGUGAUGGUCAAUGACCAAUUUAUGAUAUAGAGAAUAAGCAUUAUAUGUAAAUUCGUUUGAUUAAGAAGCACCUUAUUCUCAUUAUAUAUUCAUUUGAAUUCUCAUUUUGUAUCAUUAUUGAUUCAGUAACGAUCUAACUAGAAACACUAACAAUAAAAUAUUAGGGUUAUUGAACUCAUGAUUCGAUAUAUUGUUUAUUUUAAUUGUAAUAAUAAAGCAUAGUAUAUUGUUGUGGUAAAAAUUAAUUUACUAGUCAAAGCGGCCCAAACCAUAAAAUAGUCCACAGGCAGUCCAGUUGCUCCAUCCUCGACCCAAGUUAUUAUAAGCUGAAGUGAAAAGCAUUAGAGGUAGUAGAUCAAAAUAAGGAAAUGACCUUAAGGAAAGAAGGAUGCCAUAUAGGAGGAAUGCAGCAGCUUACCGCCCUCAAUCCCUGGUGCUCGGCCAGGUUGUCUCUGAACCUAUGACAGCUUCCCCCGAUCCCAACAAUCUGGGCCAAGACCCACAUGUUAGUUCGAAAUCUCCAAUAAUUUAUCUUCAAGAUAAAUCACGUUAUGACUUAUCUAAAUCUGGUAAGAGUUAUUUGCAAAUGGCUCUAAUAUCUCAAUUGAACAGAUCGGAUUAGAUUUAGCUUCAACCAACUAUGAAAUCUUAGAGAAUCCCCUCCAAUCCCGCUUAAACGGUUAUCCCACUCCUAUAAAUUUUGCGGUCGAUCAAGCAUUCAGGUAUUUCAAUCCACUCUACUCUAAUUCACUUCUUCUUUCUUUCCAUAUGUCAUUUAUUCAAUUUUUGACAAGAUUUACUAACUUGACCGUCAGAGGGUUUUCGGCCGACACCACACCUGUGUCCUCUUAAGAUCUUUUUAUGGUCAUUUUCCUUCAUUCUAUUUUUCUUGAGUUCUGCAGGAUUGUUGGUGGCCUACUUGAUCUAAUUUCUUGGUUGUAGAAUCUUCCAUCUACAUGUACUAAUUAAGAAAUACUGUUAGAAACUUUGUAGGUUUCUCUUUAUUUAGUUGAGAAUAAAUUACUAUCAACAAUAGGUUCGUACCUCUGCAUCACAUAAUAUCAACUCUUAUGAAGAUUUUAUAAAAUUCUCAUAAAGCAAAAAAUCAAAUCUUCAUUUGAUAUUCUUCAAAAACAACAAAAUAAUGUUAUUUUUGAAUAUUUAUGUAGUUAGGUUUUGUUUAUUUACGAAUAUUUUAUCAGAAUAAUUUAACGUUGUGCUUCUUUGGGAGCAAUAACAAUUUAAGUAUAUCGACUAAAUGUGUAUAAAUAAUAUGUGAUCAACUACAACAUGCAAAAUUGGAUACAAAUAUUGAAUAUGAAAAAUAUAAUGAUUAUAAUAUAUACAUAGCAAUCAAUUAAAGAAAACGUGUCAGUUUAUCAAUUGGAAUUGAUAGGUGGAUGCGUGCACUAGAAUAAUUAUUUAAUGUAAUCAUGCAAUUUGUGUAAUUGAAACAAUAUGCAAUUCUUAUAUAAACAACCAAUUUAAAAGAAUUUGGUUGUUGUUCACGAACAGUUUGUCACGAAUGGACCAUUGUAUUUUAAUCAUAAUCAUUGAAUUUAAGAACAAUGGAUUAUGAACAUUUUAUCCAAAUUUCACGAUGAUUGGACCAUGAAAUGUUAAGAUAUCAAAAUUUUGAUCAUAGAUAUUUAGAAUGUCCACAUUCUGCGAAUUUAUGGACAAUUGAUUUUGAAAUAAUAAUAUAAUUCUUCCAUAGUAUAAGAGUCAUAUUUUUUCAUGAGUAUGAAUCUAAUAUUCUUUUAGAGUAUUGAUUCAUACUUUUAUCUAGGAAGCAGCAACAAAAUAUCUUUUUAGAAGUUUUACAGAACUAUUCUUGAAUUUAACACAUACAAAUAUUAUACUUUACCAAGAAUAACUAUAAAAAAUUAUUUUUGAGCAUUGUUAUUGUGUAAAUUUGUGUUUCUUAAGGAGUCAAAAAAAAAAUCAAAUAAAACAUUCCUUUUCAAAUAUGCUAAAAUAUUUUUCUGAAAUAUUGAUCUAGAUUGUUUCUUCUUCAAGAAUAAUUAUAUAAUAUUCUUCUAAAAUAUUGUAUCAAAAUAUUGAAAAAACAUAUAUUUAACAAAUAAUUAUCUGUCACAAAUUGAUAUUGUCAAAAUAAUAUAACCAAAUCCAAUAACUAUACCAUUUUGUUAUGCAAUUCAAAGUUACGUGAAUAGUAACAUUUUUUAAGCUAGAAAAGAAGAGUUUCUUUGUAAUUGUAGUAGUCUAGAAUUACUUGACUUUCUUUGAUUGAAGGAAAAAUUAUUUUUUUCCUACCUUAACUAACUAGAGAUUUGUGAGUAGAAUGAGGAAUAAAUUUUACCAAUUCGAUUGGCUAGACCUUUACGCUGAUAAAGCAUUAUAAAAUAAAGAGAAAAAAAUAAAGAAAUCAAUACACUAUGUAUUUCAUUGAGAACCGAAAUCCCAUAUUCAUAAGAAAAAAUUAGGAUUGCAAGUGAUACAAUAGUCAUGAUAAUUAGGAUUUGAGGAGUAUAGUAAUCAUUCAAUAAUAAACAUAUAAUUUACAAUCUAUAAAAUAUAAUAUAUUAAAAUAUCGCAUCAAGUGAGAAUCAUUUUUGGACGAUUUUAACCUUAUUACAAUUCAAUUAUUUCAAUAAUACUUUACGUUUUCAAAUAUGUAAUAAAUACUAUGCUAUUAAUUCUCAAUUAUUUAACAUUUGCAUUAAUUUAAACUCAAUGAUCUUCACUUGAUAAAUCUUAAUUUAUGUGAGUCUAGAGUAUUGUAGAUGAAUUUUAUUUCUAUUCAUGCAUCUAAGUAUUUUAAUGGGUGUUUAAACUCAUGGAUUAACAAUUAAUUCUUAUGUGGCAAUUGUAGUUUAAAAAUGUUGCUCAUUUGUAAUAUUUAAUCAUCACAAAAAUUCGAAUUAUAGAAGUUGAAUUUCGAGAAUAAAAUUUUUGUCUUUUAAAUUUCUAUUCUAAAUUUUAUUUUCUUUAAUUCAUUUGAGACUCAUCAAAUUCUCUCAAUAAAUUGGUAUCAAAUAUUAAUUUUUUAACACUUAUAAAGUAUUUUAAAAAAAACAUGCAAUACAUGUUCAAGUCUAACUGGUAUAUAAAAUAUAACAUCAAAUGAGAAUCAUUGUCCAAAAAAUUUUGACCGUACUAUAAUUCAAUUAUUUCAAUAAUACCUUACUUUUAAUUUUUCAAUACGUAAUAAGUUUCAAUAAUACCUUACUUUUUGUUUUUCAAUACGUAAUAAAUACUACAAAAUUCUUAUUAUUUUAUGAAUUUUGUGCUAUUAAUUUUCAAUUAAUUAACCUUCAUGUUAAUCUAGACCCAAUAAAUCUUAAUCUAUAUGAAUCUAGAGAUAUUAUAGAUGAAUUAAUUUCUAUUCAUGGAUUUAGAAAUUUCAAUGGGUGUUUAAAUUCAUUUAUCAGAAAUUAAUUCUUAUAUAAGAAAUAUAGUAUAAAAAGUUUGCUCAUUUAUAGUAUUUCAUCAUCAUAAAAUUUGAAUCAUAGAAGUUGAGUUUUGCGAGUAUAAUUUUUGUCUCUUAAAUUUUUAUCCUAUUUUUUUUUUUUUUUUGGUUAGUUUUAGACGCUCAAAUCCUCACAACAAACUAGUAUCAAAUAUUACUUUGUAGUACUUAUAAUAUAUUUUAAAAUAACAUGUAAUGCACAUUCAACUUUGACUAGUUUAUAUAUAUAUAUUAGAGAGAGAGAGAGAGAGAGAGAGAGGGGUGUUAAAGCAUCAUCACAAAAAAAAAAAAAAAAAUGAUUUGGACGAAAAAAUUCAAAAAUCUUUAGAAUAAUGUGUAAUGUACAUUCAACUUUGACUAGUUUAUAUAUAUAUAUAUAACAUCAUUACACAAAAAAAAAUGGAUAUGGACGUAACGAUUCAAAAAUCUGACCAAUUUUAUACUUUCAUAUAAAAAUUGGAAGACCAAGAGAAAAAUAAAAUGAAAACUCAUGAAUGUACUAUUUAUUUUUUAUUUUUAUUUUUUUUACACUGAAGAACAUAAGUCUUUUUGGGAAAUAAUUCUUUGUCAUAUAAAUGUAAGUAUUAUUUUGGGCCCUCAUCAAUGCAAGCCCUUGGACAAUAGUUUACCCUGCUUGAAGUCGGCGCUGGCACUAUUUGUGCUCAAUAUUGCUAUUGAAUUAUAGUUUAAGUUUGAGCAUUUUAUAUUUAAGGAUUUGAUAUUUCUACAGUUGAAAAUAAACACGAGAAUUUUGAAUGUUUUAGUUUUUGAAGCACAAUAAUUGUCUCAAUUGUGUGGACAAUAAAAUCUCUAUAGAAUAUUAAUAGUGGGAUCUAAUAAAAUUAUACCUAAUUUAUUAAAUGAUUGAUAUAUGAUGUGAAGCAAUUUCUAAUAAACCCUUCUAAACGUGAAGGAUGCGAACACCUAUUUAAUUAUCCUACUAAAAACAAUAAAAUCAUGGACUAGCCUACUAACAAAGUGAAUGCUUUGACGAAUGUGCCUAGAGAAAAUGAUCAUGAUUUAUAUGUAUGUGAUAAUUGUAUUUUACAAAAUCUUUUUUUCCAAAAGGAAGAUUUUUAAGCAUCAGUCUUUAAAAAAUUAGAGAUGCUGUUGAGUCUCCGUUGAGUACAAAAAAAACAAAUUUAUAUGCAUAUUUUAAAAUUAUAAAAUGAAAACAAAAAAGAAUUUGUCAAAUAAAAUUCAUUAAAAUGUAUUAGAAAAUGUUACAAAUUUAAUCCAUUAUUAUUUUUAUUUUUAUUGGCCCCCAAUGAAUUUUGAAUAAAACUAUUAUUUUAUUCAAUAAAGAAGAUUAUUAAUUUUUAGUAAAUUGGCCAUAGUUGAGAUCGAUGAAUUUCGUUAUUUAAGCUAGAUUUUUUAUUUAUCAAACACUUGUUUAUAAAAAUUUAUUGUGCACUAAUUUUUUGAGCUACAAUAUGUUUUUAAUUUACGCCAUAUUAUUUUCCCGUUUUCAAAGUUUUCUAACAAUUAAGUCAUCUUGUAUUAACAAUGACUGUUUUUGCGACAUUACUGAAUAAAUGUCAGUAGUUGAGAUGAUAAUUUGGACCAAAAUGGAGGAUGAUUUUCUUACUAAUUGUAUGUCACUCUACAUCGAAUAUCUUCUUCUUCUUCUUUUAUUUUUUUAAUUAUUUUUUUAUUUUUGCAAAUCGAGAAUUGAUAAUUGAUUGAGCCCAGGAUAGUUCUUGGUCCUAAACCAGAAUUGUAGGUAUCCGAAUAGAAUCGAUUUUUUAAUAUAUUUUUUUAUUUAAAUUUAUAGGUUGUAUAAAGAAACGCAAAAUCCAAAACCCUAAUUUAGAUAGUAAUUACCCUAAAACUCUAGACUUUAUGUAUAAGAAAUCAAGAUUUGAAAUCAAGAUUGACUCCUUUUUUUUUUUUUUUUUUGGCCUCUCACCUCACAUCAUAUUGCUGCAUUUCAGAAGUUAGUAGGUGUUAUUCUUUGCAAUUUAAGCUUUUUAUGUAUCGAAAAAAUUUAAGUUAGGUUGUAGUGUAAGUUGAUUAAUCAAAACGUUCAUCCUUUGCAAUUCAAGUUUUUUUACUUUCUAGUAUUGUUUACAAACUUAAGUGAUUUUUCAAAUUUAUUUAUUUAUUUAUAAUGUAUGAAAUUGAACUUGAUAUAUUUAUAGUUUGGGCUGUCGUGUACCUUUUGGGAUAUCUUGAGUUCGUGAUUCUCGUUUGAAAUAAAUUUUUCCUUUUUUAUUCAAAUAUAGUGAAUUCAAUAUGUAGAUUGCAAUUUUUUGAUAUAAUACAGUUACGUAUCUAAUUAGUAUUUCUUAUAUUAAGAGUAGAAGAAUUUAAGCAAUAUUCAUAAUUAAAUUAAAUGCUCUAACAUGCCUUGCUUAUUAAUCGAAUAAGAUUUAUUAUAAAAAUAAUAUACUUGUAUAAGUAUAAAUACUUUAAAUAAUUUUCUAAAGAGAUAAGCAGCUAUUUGGCUCAACUGAGCCGGAAGAAUUCCCAAUGGCGUUAAUGCAUGACGAAUGAGCCGGCUCAUUUUUAUAGGUCAGCUUAACAUCUUCCAAGGUAAUAUCACUGCAUGGAUUUCCUUUGCUGCAGUCAAAUUUCACUGCAGUUUCUGUUGCUGAACUCCCAUGUAUGUCUUGAUAUGUUACAUCACUAAUCUUCACGCCUGAAACCUGAAAAAAUUGAGACGGCUUUGCAUAAUUAAUUUACAAUUGAAUGGUGUAAAUUCUUUGAAUAUAUAUAUAUAUAUAUUAUUUAUUUUUAUAUGAGUUCCCAUAUCUUAAUUACCUGAUUGGGGCAAUUGUGAUCGUCGGGACAGUAAUUUUGAUCAAUAAUUAUGGCGUUUUGUACAUUAACCAUGACUAAAUGCUGGAAAAGAAUAUUUUUAACGAAUCCAUUGCUUGGCCUGGCCCAUGUCUUCACCCUCGCCCCAUUUUGAGUUCCUGUAAAUGUUGCUGAUUUAACUGUCACAUUUUCCACUCCAGGUUCUUGCAAAUCCCAGCCUAGACUCCCAAUGCUGCAGAAAAGGAGCACAAAUUAGUUAUCUCAGCUAAAUAAAUUGUUGGGAUACAUUAUGUUAUACUUCCUCUGCUCCAAAAAAUAGAAUUGCUUUCCUUUUUUGUCUAUCCCAAAAUAAAGGUCACUUUCCUUGUUGAGAUUAUAAUUAAUUUCUUAGUUUUCUAAUAAAAUCCUAUUUGAAGUGUCUUGUUAUCAACAAAUAUGAAUUAUUCUUAUUUAAGCCAUUAUGUAAUGUAGAAAUAUGUUGGGAAAAAAAUAUAAGAAAAAUUUAUAUUUUCAACUAUAUUACUUACAUGUUUCUUAAUUCGUGCGAAAAUAGAAAUAUGUUUAUCGUUGUGGGACGUAAGGAGCAUGAUUAUAUCUAUUUUAAUGAAGAUUGUGUAGUUGAAAAUAAGUAUUGUAGAAAAAAUAAUGUGGUAGAAUAGCUAUCAAUUUUUAAUUUACGUUUUUAGUACCUAAUUCCGUGGCCAGGGCCGCAUGCAAUAGUCUCAAUCCACAAGUUCGAGGUGCCGGGGCCUAUAGAGACACAAUCAUUUCCGGUGCCAAUUUGAGAGUUCAUAAUUGUGACUCCUGUUGAUUUCUCCACGUGAAUUCCGUCGGUGUUUGGACUGUUGCCUGGUGCAGCAACCUUUAUUCCCACUAGCUUGGCAUUG